rnacentral:rRNA from 1 species
GUAAACGGCGGCCGUAACUAUAACGGUCCUAAGGUAGCGAAAUUCCUUGUCGGGUAAGUUCCGACCUGCACGAAUGGCGUAACGAGGGCCACACUGUCUCCACCCGAGACUCAGUGAAAUUGAAAUUGCUGUUAAGAUGCAGUAUACCCGCGGCCAGACGGAAAGACCCCGUGCACCUUUACUACAGCUUUGCAUUGAACUCUGAUCCUACCUGUGUAGGAUAGGUGGGAGACUUUGAAACUUUAACGCUAGUUAGAGUGGAGUCAUCCUUGAAAUACCACCCUGGUAUGGUUGGGGUUCUAACCUUGGUCCGUUAUCCGGAUUGGGGACAAUGCAUGGUGGGUAGUUUGACUGGGGCGGUCUCCUCCCAAAGAGUAACGGAGGAGCGCAAAGGUACCCUCAGCACGGUCGGACAUCGUGCAAUGAGCGCAAAGGUAAAAGGGUGCUUGACUGCGAGACUGACACGUCGAGCAGGUAGGAAACUAGGUCUUAGUGAUCCGGUGGUUCUGAGUGGAAGGACCAUCGCUCAACGGAUAAAAGGUACGCCGGGGAUAACAGGCUGAUACCGCCCAAGAGUUCACAUCGACGGCGGUGUUUGGCACCUCGAUGUCGGCUCAUCACAUCCUGGGGCUGAAGCAGGUCCCAAGGGUAUGGCUGUUCGCCAUUUAAAGUGGUACGCGAGCUGGGUUUAGAACGUCGUGAGACAGUUCGGUCCCUAUCUACCGUGGGCGUUGGAGACUUGAGGGAAGCUGUUCUUAGUACGAGAGGACCGGAAUGGACACACCUCUGGUGUUUCGGUUAUGACGCCAGUCGUAUUGCCGAGUAGCUAUGUGUGGAAAGGAUAACCGCUGAAAGCAUCUAAGCGGGAAGCCCCUCCCAAGAUUAGGUCUCCCUGACAGUUUAACUGUCCUAAAGAUCCCUCGGAGACUACGAGGUUGAUAGGCACGGUGUGGAAGAGUAGUGAUACUUGAAGCUAACGUGUACUAAUUGAUCGUGAGGCUUGACCAU